rnacentral:lncRNA from 1 species
GUAUUCCAGAAUAUGCUACUCAUUGGAAACGGUGAUAGAAAUUUGAAAUUGCUCUGAGUUCAUAAUGAAGAAUGACCAACAUCUAUUAUUCAUCAAAUGAAAUUCUCCACUAAACAAAAUCCUGACCUUUGUGAAAGUGCUUCUUUAACUUUGUAACUAAUGCAAUAACCACAUGACCUUUGGUGCUCAAAAACCCUUGAGUGGCUCUCUACAACUUCUGCAGAUUCUUAAGAGUUGGGUACAUGAAAUAGCUAUUUCUAGGUAAAGUCAACCAGGCCAGUGUGAAAAUAAGAUUUCAUUACACUACUCUUACCAAAUAAAGAAUCAUAUCAGCAUGUAUUAC